AAGGCUUUAAGUUAACUUAAAACUAAUAGCCUUCAAAGCUGCAAAUAAAGUAGAUUCUUUAAGCCUUA
rnacentral:tRNA from 1 species